rnacentral:tRNA from 1 species
CUAGUAAAGUCAGCUAAUU